UACGAGGGGGGCAAGCGUUGUUCGGAAUUAUUGGGCGUAAAGGGCGCGUAGGCGGUGCGGUAAGUCACCUGUGAAAACUCUGGGCUCAACUCAGAGCCUGCAGGCGAAACUGCCGUGCUUGAGUGUGGGAGAGGUGCGUGGAAUUCCCGGUGUAGCGGUGAAAUGCGUAGAUAUCGGGAAGAACAUCGGUGGCGAAAGCGCUCUACUGGACGGUAUCUGACACUGAGGGACGAAAGCUAGGGGAGCGAAUGGG
rnacentral:rRNA from 1 species